UGUGCAUUAGCUUCAAAGGGAAGCAUCUGCCUUAUACGCAGAGGAGUACGGGUUCGAAUCCCGUAUGCAGUAA
rnacentral:tRNA from 1 species